GAAACCCGGUGAUCUAGCCAUGGGCAGGUUGAAGGUUGGGUAACACUAACUGGAGGACCGAACCGACUAAUGUUGAAAAAUUAGCGGAUGACUUGUGGCUGGGGGUGAAAGGCCAAUCAAACCGGGAGAUAGCUGGUUCUCCCCGAAAGCUAUUUAGGUAGCGCCUCGUGAAUUCAUCUCCGGGGGUAGAGCACUGUUUCGGCAAGGGGGUCAUCCCGACUUACCAACCCGAUGCAAACUGCGAAUACCGGAGAAUGUUAUCACGGGAGACACACGGCGGGUGCUAACGUCCGUCGUGAAGAGGGAAACAACCCAGACCGCCAGCUAAGGUCCCAAAGUCAUGGUUAAGUGGGAAACGAUGUGGGAAGGCCCAGACAGCCAGGAUGUUGGCUUAGAAGCAGCCAUCAUUUAAAGAAAGCGUAAUAGCUCACUGGUCGAGUCGGCCUGCGCGGAAGAUGUAACGGGGCUAAACCAUGCACCGAAGCUGCGGCAGCGACACUAUGUGUUGUUGGGUAGGGGAGCGUUCUGUAAGCCUGUGAAGGUGGCCUGUGAGGGUUGCUGGAGGUAUCAGAAGUGCGAAUGCUGACAUAAGUAACGAUAAAGCGGGUGAAAAGCCCGCUCGCCGGAAGACCAAGGGUUCCUGUCCAACGUUAAUCGGGGCAGGGUGAGUCGACCCCUAAGGCGAGGCCGAAAGGCGUAGUCGAUGGGAAACAGGUUAAUAUUCCUGUACUUGGUGUUACUGCGAAGGGGGGACGGAGAAGGCUAUGUUGGCCGGGCGACGGUUGUCCCGGUUUAAGCGUGUAGGCUGGUUUUCCAGGCAAAUCCGGAAAACCAAGGCUGAGGCGUGAUGACGAGGCACUACGGUGCUGAAGCGACAAAUGCCCUGCUUCCAGGAAAAGCCUCUAAGCAUCAGGUAACAUCAAAUCGUACCCCAAACCGACACAGGUGGUCAGGUAGAGAAUACCAAGGCGCUUGAGAGAACUCGGGUGAAGGAACUAGGCAAAAUGGUGCCGUAACUUCGGGAGAAGGCACGCUGAUAUGUAGGUGAAGCGACUUGCUCGUGGAGCUGAAAUCAGUCGAAGAUACCAGCUGGCUGCAACUGUUUAUUAAAAACACAGCACUGUGCAAACACGAAAGUGGACGUAUACGGUGUGACGCCUGCCCGGUGCCGGAAGGUUAAUUGAUGGGGUUAGCGGCAACGCGAAGCUCUUGAUCGAAGCCCCGGUAAACGGCGGCCGUAACUAUAACGGUCCUAAGGUAGCGAAAUUCCUUGUCGGGUAAGUUCCGACCUGCACGAAUGGCGUAAUGAUGGCCAGGCUGUCUCCACCCGAGACUCAGUGAAAUUGAACUCGCUGUGAAGAUGCAGUGUACCCGCGGCAAGACGGAAAGACCCCGUGAACCUUUACUAUAGCUUGACACUGAACAUUGAGCCUUGAUGUGUAGGAUAGGUGGGAGGCUUUGAAGUGUGGACGCCAGUCUGCAUGGAGCCGACCUUGAAAUACCACCCUUUAAUGUUUGAUGUUCUAACGUUGGCCCGUAAUCCGGGUUGCGGACAGUGUCUGGUGGGUAGUUUGACUGGGGCGGUCUCCUCCUAAAGAGUAACGGAGGAGCACGAAGGUUGGCUAAUCCUGGUCGGACAUCAGGAGGUUAGUGCAAUGGCAUAAGCCAGCUUGACUGCGAGCGUGACGGCGCGAGCAGGUGCGAAAGCAGGUCAUAGUGAUCCGGUGGUUCUGAAUGGAAGGGCCAUCGCUCAACGGAUAAAAGGUACUCCGGGGAUAACAGGCUGAUACCGCCCAAGAGUUCAUAUCGACGGCGGUGUUUGGCACCUCGAUGUCGGCUCAUCACAUCCUGGGGCUGAAGUAGGUCCCAAGGGUAUGGCUGUUCGCCAUUUAAAGUGGUACGCGAGCUGGGUUUAGAACGUCGUGAGACAGUUCGGUCCCUAUCUGCCGUGGGCGCUGGAGAACUGAGGGGGGCUGCUCCUAGUACGAGAGGACCGGAGUGGACGCAUCACUGGUGUUCGGGUUGUCAUGCCAAUGGCACUGCCCGGUAGCUAAAUGCGGAAGAGAUAAGUGCUGAAAGCAUCUAAGCACGAAACUUGCCCCGAGAUGAGUUCUCCCUGACUCCUUGAGGGUCCUGAAGGAAC
rnacentral:rRNA from 1 species